rnacentral:rRNA from 1 species
GAGUUUGAUCUUGGCUCAGGACGAACGCUGGCGGCGUGCUUAAACAUGCAAGUCGAACGGGAUUCAGCCUUCGGGCGAAGAUCUAGUGGCGAACGGGUGAGUAACACGUGAGCAACCUACCCCAGAGACCGGGAUAAGCGAGAGAAAUUUCGUCUAAUACCGGAUAAUCUCUUCCCGCUACUAACGGGUUGAGCAAAUGGUUUUUCGCUUGGGAUGGGCUCGCGCACUAUCAGCUUGUUGGUGGGGUAAUGGCCUACCAAGGCGUCGACGGUUAGCUGGUCUGAGAGGAUGGUCAGCCACACUGGGACUGAGACACGGCCCCAGACUCCUACGGGAGGCAGCAGUUAGGAAUCUUGCGCAAUGGGCGAAAGCCUGACGCAGCAACGCCGCGUGUGGGAUGAAGGCUUUCGGGUUGUAAACCACUUUCAGCAGGAACGAAAUUAGACGGUACCUGCAGAAGAAGCACCGGCCGAACUAACGUGCCAGCAGCCGCCGCAGU